GUGGGUGUGCUGGAGUAGUUAUCAGGCAUGACUUGAUAUCAUGUGAGCUUUGCUCGCGUAGGUUCGAAUCCUACCACUCACG